rnacentral:lncRNA from 1 species
CGCCCUCUAUUUCUUUACGCAAAAAAAUUUUUAUGUGAAUUUUUUCUCAUAUUCAGAAGUAGUUCCAUACUCAUAUCUAAUCUUUUUUUAGAUUAGAAAUUAAUUGAUUUAAAUUUGAGUUCAAAUGGGUUUGAAUUGAAUGAAAAUCUAGAGUCCAAAUUGAGUUGGACUCUUCUCUUCAUGCCACCACCUUUCUCCAUGCAUAAAGUAUUUUUGCAUGAAUUUUUUUGUGCCAUGCUAAUGCUGGUUGCCCACUAUCUGAGUUCCUAAGAUGAGGAAAAAAUUUGAUUCAAAGUUUAAUUCAAAUUUGAUUUGAAUUGAUGAUAAGGAUCAACCAAUAUUUGAACUUGAACCAAAACUAUCUUAUUCUUAUCCUUAUCUUACAUAAGACGCCACCCUUA